rnacentral:rRNA from 1 species
GCUUAUUUUGCUAGUGGCCACCACAAUUUAUUUCAUAACUUUGACCUCAAAUCAGGUAGGACUACCC